ensembl:antisense Gm11457 predicted gene 11457
UCUCUUUGGAACCCCGACUCCUGUCGCUGGCCUGUGAUUUGGCUGUGCAGCCAGUGUCUCCAUGUAUUUCCGCAUCUUCUCAACCAUCCAGGAUGGCAGAACAAAGGAUUUCAGCUCCUCCAACUUCAGGUCCAAGCAUCCUCUGAAGGAGACAUGGGAUGGACAUUAAAGGGAGGGUGACGGUCUCGUCCAUGUGCCUAGUGAGGCAGAAGGCAGGAUGGGGAAAGGGGUCUUCGUUGUACCUGUAGUCAUCGCUGGCAGCCAAGUCCCGGAUGUCUUCUUCAAUGAGAAGGGGCCCAGAGUCUCGGCCACUGUCAAUGUUCACACAAGCAUACCUUGGGGCCUUCUCGGCGAAUUGGUUCACAGGAUUUUUGUUUCCAUCUGCUCAGAAGGAAAAAAGACAGCAGCUGCCCUGAGCUCAACCCAGAUGUAAGUGACUUCCUGAUGUCCCCCAAGU